UUAAGCGACUAAGCGUACACGGUGGAUGCCCUGGCAGUCAGAGGCGAUGAAGGGCGUGCUAAUCUGCGAUAAGCGCCGGUAAGGUGAUAUGAACCGUUAUAACCGGCGAUACCCGAAUGGGGAAACCCAGUGUGACUCGUCACACUAUCAUUAACUGAAUCCAUAGGUUAAUGAGGCGAACCGGGGGAACUGAAACAUCUAAGUACCCCGAGGAAAAGAAAUCAACCGAGAUUCCCCCAGUAGCGGCGAGCGAACGGGGAGGAGCCCAGAGCCUGAAUCAGCAUGUGUGUUAGUGGAAGCGUCUGGAAAGGCGCGCGAUACAGGGUGACAGCCCCGUACACAAAAGCGCAUGUGCUGUGAGCUCGAUGAGUAGGGCGGGACACGUGGUAUCCUGUCUGAAUAUGGGGGGACCAUCCUCCAAGGCUAAAUACUCCUGACUGACCGAUAGUGAACCAGUACCGUGAGGGAAAGGCGAAAAGAACCCCGGCGAGGGGAGUGAAAAAGAACCUGAAACCGUGUACGUACAAGCAGUGGGAGCACAGGUUUACCUGUGUGACUGCGUACCUUUUGUAUAAUGGGUCAGCGACUUAUAUUCUGUAGCAAGGUUAACCGAAUAGGGGAGCCGGAGGGAAACCGAGUCUUAAUUGGGCGUUAAGUUGCAGGGUAUAGACCCGAAACCCGGUGAUCUAGCCAUGGGCAGGUUGAAGGUUGGGUAACACUAACUGGAGGACCGAACCGACUAAUGUUGAAAAAUUAGCGGAUGACCUGUGGCUGGGGGUGAAAGGCCAAUCAAACCGGGAGAUAGCUGGUUCUCCCCGAAAGCUAUUUAGGUAGCGCCUCGUGAAUUCAUCUCCGGGGGUAGAGCACUGUUUCGGCUAGGGGGCCAUCCCGGCUUACCAACCCGAUGCAAACUGCGAAUACCGGAGAAUGUUAUCACGGGAGACACACGGCGGGUGCUAACGUCCGUCGUGAAGAGGGAAACAACCCAGACCGCCAGCUAAGGUCCCAAAGUCAUGGUUAAGUGGGAAACGAUGUGGGAAGGCCCAGACAGCCAGGAUGUUGGCUUAGAAGCAGCCAUCAUUUAAAGAAAGCGUAAUAGCUCACUGGUCGAGUCGGCCUGCGCGGAAGAUGUAACGGGGCUAAACCAUGCACCGAAGCUGCGGCAGCGNNNNNNNNNNNNNNNNNNNNNNNNNNNNNNNUGCUGGAGGUAUCAGAAGUGCGAAUGCUGACAUAAGUAACGAUAAAGCGGGUGAAAAGCCCGCUCGCCGGAAGACCAAGGGUUCCUGUCCAACGUUAAUCGGGGCAGGGUGAGUCGACCCCUAAGGCGAGGCCGAAAGGCGUAGUCGAUGGGAAACGGGUUAAUAUUCCCGUACUUGGUGUUACUGCGAAGGGGGGACGGAGAAGGCUAUGUUGGCCGGGCGACGGUUGUCCCGGUUUAAGCGUGUAGGUGUGUGUUCCUGGUAAAUCCGGUUCACUUUAACACUGAGGCGUGACGACGAGGCACUACGGUGCUGAAGCAACAAAUGCCCUGCUU
rnacentral:rRNA from 1 species